AUUGCUACCCCCUCAAAAUUCAUAUGUGGAAGCCCUAACCCCCAAUACUUCAGUAUGUGAAUGUAUUUGGAGAUAAGGCCUUUAAAGAGGCAGUUAAGUUAGAAUGAGUCAUCACAGUGGGCCCUAAUCCAAUGACUGGUGUCCUUAUAAGAAGAGGAGAUUAGGACAGACACCAAGGAUGCGUGAGCACAAAGAAAAGACCCUCAGAGGACACAGUGAGAAAAUGGUUAUCUGCAAGCCAAGGAGAGACCAAACCUGCCGGCACCUUAAUCUUGGACUCUCAGCCUCCAGAACUAAGAUCCAACCAAGAUUCUACCAAGAAGAUCGUGGGGGAUCCAACGAGAUGGAGGGAAAAGCAAAGAGAAGAUGCGAUGAAGCCACAGAGCAGGAAGAGGCCUCGGUUGCUGUCCUGACCAGUCCUCUCACUUCACCAUCAAGGCCAUGAAACCCAGAGAAGGGAUGUGACUUGAGAUCCAGCCAGACCCAGAUCCAGAGUUGGGAGGGCAGGGGUGCUGCAAUAUGAUCACAGAAUCGACACUCGACCCCUCCCAGCGACCUGGCAAAGUGGGCACUAACUCCAUUCUGCAGAGGUGGAAACUGAGGCCAGUGUGGGGAAUGGAAAUUGACUGGGCUAAGCUUAGAAGCCUGAACUCUGACCCCAAAGCUCUCUCUUGUACCUUUGACCCCCUUGUCUUGUCCUGCAGCUCUUAAGGUUACAGUGAGCCAGUUUUUCAUUUUGCCUUUCUCCAAUGGAGGCACCUUGGAAAAUAGAGAUCUGGCUGGAGCAACCUGGAACAUUUGAUGAUUGGGCUUAUUUAUAUUUAUAAUUAUCUAUAGAGUGAUAAGCACUUAUAUGCGGAAGGAGAGAGUUCCUGUCCUGCUCACUGAUGUAUCAUCAACUUGCUAAUGAAUGAAUGAAUGAACAAAUGCUAAUCCUCACAGAUCCCCUCUCUACAGAGGAAGAGGCUGAGGCUCAGGGAGGUGCAGUGACUUGCUUCAGAGACACAGGAAUCAUGCCAGGAAUCGUCGGGCCUCCCUUUUUUCUCAGAGAAGAAAGAUUGUUUCUGUUUCCUCCUCCGUCAUGCUGGGCUUGUCAACCAGCCAGUCACCGGCCCUCCCUGAGGAAGCGCAGCACAGUCACCAGCCAGGAGAACAGAUUCACCUGCCCCAGGACGUCAGCGCUGCCCACACACGGUGCCACCCACGCACUGUGACACACACUCACACUUGGGCCCCAGACUCCCCAGGUCCAACCAAGGAGAGGGAAUGGCAGAGGAGCGCACAGGGGUGGGGCAGGCACUGAACCCCGCUGGGGAAUGGAGGGGGAAAGGGUGGGACAGGCCCCACCCAGCCCCAACUGUCAGAAGACGAAAGAAAGGGUGCAGGUGGGCUCCGGGUUGGAGAAGAAGAAGGUGAGCCAGCAGAGCCGAGUCACGGCAGCCUGCCAAGCCGACUGCUGAGGCAGAGUUAGCACUGGCUGGAUGAGACACUUCACACUUCACAGCUCCUGAAAAGUGUGGAGGAAAUGCCCACACCCUACAUAGACCAGAGGGCCACUAUCUGCUUGAAACAAAUGGCCCCUUCCUGGACAUCCUUUGUUCCCCUUUAUGGACAAAAUGCUACUACCUUCACUUACACCCUCCCUAGAGAUCUCCCAAAGAAGGAGGAUGAGGGAAGCUGCCUUUGGUUGAGUCUAUGCUAUGUGCCUGACUCUGUGCCAAGCUCUGGACCUCCACCAAGUCAGGUACUCCCCACAGGCUGAAAUCAG
rnacentral:lncRNA from 10 species